rnacentral:rRNA from 1 species
CCUACGGGAGGCAGCAGUGAGGAAUAUUGGUCAAUGGACGAGAGUCUGAACCAGCCAAGUAGCGUGAAGGAUGACGGCCCUAUGGGUUGUAAACUUCUUUUAUAUGGGAAUAAAAUGUUCCACGUGUGGGGUUGUGUAUGUACCAUAUGAAAAAGCAUAGGCUAACUCCGUGCCAGAAGCCGCGGUAAGACGGGGGAGGCGAGAGUGAUCGGGAUUUGUGGGGUUUAAAGGGUACGUAGGCGGAAUGCCAAGUCAGCGGUAAAAUCGCGGGGCUCAACCUCGCGCCGCCGUUGAAACUGGCGUUCUUGAGUGUGCGAGAAGUAUGCGGAAUGCGUGGUGGAGCGGUGAAAUGCAUAGAUAUCACACAGAACUCCGAUUGCGAAGGCAGCAUACCGGCGCCCAACUGACGCUGAAGCACGAAAGCGUGGGUAUCGAACAGGAUUAGAUACCCGUGUAGUC